GCAGCCGUGCCCAGUCCGGUUCCGGGCAUCGCCGGUAGCCCGACAACAGCGCAGGGGCUCGAAAUUGUGAGUUCAAUCCUCACCGGCAGCACCA
rnacentral:tRNA from 1 species